AUAUCUGUAAAGCUCUUGGCAUAGUGUCUGAUACAAAAAGAGAGCUCAGUACAUUAAUUUUAGCUAUUAGAAAAUUAUCUCAGAAUACUUCACAGGCCUCAAAUCCAAAAAGUUGUUUCUUCUUCUUAUCCUAUCACCUAGAAAAUUCCUUCAGAUCACUUACUACAACUUUACAUAUAAAUGUAUUCCAAGGAGUUAGGUUGCCAGAAAAGGAAGAGGAAAAUUUUAUGUUUAUCUACCUCUCUCUCCUAUCACUUACCCUUUUCUCCUUUCCUUCUUUCUCUCCUUCUGUCCUGAAAAUCCGUGAAACAAACUUAGGUAGUCUGCUUUCAGAGCCCAAAUUCCAAACUGCUCUUCUGUGCUGACUCUUUCUAGUACCUUCCACAGUGCCUUGUACAUAGACAGUCUUUAAAUGUUGGAUAAUGCUAAAAUGCUGCUUUUGGCUUUUUUUCUUUUGCCUGGUUUUAAAAUUUUUUUGUAGGAUUCAAGAUUUGGAGGGUUUACAGAUGUGGACAGGAAGUAAAGCUUCAGGAUGUUUCCAGUUAUCCUUAUCAGCAUCAUAAGCACUUUUUGCCAUGUGUGCUUGCUAAUGUAGCAUUGCCUGAUGUCUUUCAACCAACUUGUUAUGUCUUUUGCUUACUGAGCGGAGUUAUGAUUGAACCCUCCCUCUUUGUUACCCCUAAAUCCCAUCAAUGACCAAAUCUUGCUUUUUUCCUCCCCAAUACCUCUCAGAUCUGUCAUAUUUCUCCAUGUUCAUGCCAGUACCCUAGUUAAAGCUGCCAGCAUCACAUUGUCAUACUACUACAGUAGCCUCCUAAUAGAUCUUCUCACAUCACUCUUGCUCAUCCCAAUACAAUCUGUUUUCCUCACAGCAGCUACAAUGAUCAGUUGAAAAAUGCAAGUGGAUUUUGGCUGUUCUGUCAUGAUUCAGGUAGGAAGCAGACUUCAGUUCAAAUGUAGACAUUGUAAUGAAAGACCCACUUUGUAGUAUGGUCACAGCUAAGGGGAUCAAUAAGGGAUACUGAGGUAUAUAAAGACAGACAAAAGUGAAAGUUGUUUACUGUUCCUCAGGUUGAAGGAGCAAGGGGAUGGAGUUGUAUUACUAGAGCUCACUGAGAGCUAGCCCAAGGAGGGGGGUCCACACUGCAAGGACUGUAAUUGUGAAGGGACAAGUCACCACCAGUGAUACUGUGUGAAACAGGGAGGAAGUACCGUGAUCUUCAUUUCUUCUCAGUCUCAGCUCUCCUAUCAGUGUCUCCUCUUGGCCAAAUCUAACUGGAAACUGGAAAGCAAAGAACCCGGGUAAUUUAGUCUGGAGGGGUCAGCCUGAGGAAGAGCAGAGUUCUGCAGAUAGUGUGAAGAAUAACCAGCGCACCGUAAGACCAAAUCCUUAAUCUGACCUGCAGGACCCUGCGAGAUCUGACACUUUCCUACUUCAUCAUGCUCAUCCUUGGCCUCUUUGCUCCUGAUUCACUGAGGUUCAGCCAUAUUUGGGUCUUUCAUUUUCUUGAAUAUGCUGUGCUUGUUCCCACCUGAGUGCCUUUAUACAUGCUGUUCCCUGUGUCUGACGAGUUCUUGCCCAACUUUUCACCUCAUUAAAUCUUAACCAUCUUUCAGAGCUCAGCUCAAAGGACACUUCCUCAGGGAAGUCUCACCUGACUCUCUAGACUCUCCAGGUUAGAUCCUGGUGAAAUAUGUCUAACUGCAUCCUGCUCUUCUCCUUUGUAGCACCUAUCACUGUAACUAGAUAUCUACUUGUUUACUAAUUAAGAGAAUGUUUGUGUUACUGGGUAUAAAUAAAGAGAUUUUAUCUAUCUUGUUUGCCACUGAUUUCCCGGUGCCUUGCUCAGUGUUUUGCAUAUAGUAGGCACUUAAUAAACAUUGAUUGAUUGAAUGAAUGGACAAAUGAAUGAAUAUAUAUUUUUCAUGGUUUGUCCAAAAAUGCGAAAAUUUCAUGUAUGCCCCUUUAAGUUAACAUCAAAACCACAUAUGAAAUAGCAUGAGAAAGAGUAAUCUUGAACUGGUUUUCUUCUAUUGUAUCUAUUAUGUAGUGUUCUAUUUAUGUAGGAGACUGAAAAAAAUAAGAGUUGACUUGUAUUUAACAUCUUAUUUCUUUCCUGCCUGUUAAGAUAGACUGAAUGAUUACUUUUUGUAAAGCCAAAGUGUAGCAGAGUGCUUAGGAGGUUAGUAUUUAUAAGGGCAGUAUUGGGACAGAAGGUACUCUGGACGUCCUUACUGUAUCUUUCCCAGUUGCUCAUUGUUAUGUUAUGUGCAUCCCUUUCUUAGUAUGUGGCAGAGGAUCUUUAGGGGGCAAAAGCCAUUCUGAUUUAUCCCUUACCUCCAAAUAUCCCUGCCCUUCACCUGCCCCAGAAGAUUAUUUGUACUUACAAAUUAGAUGAAGAAAGGGAGGACAUCAUGGGGUAGAGGUACACCGAAAACAUGUUGUUUUUCAACACAGUGUAUCAUGCAAAAAUUUAAUAUCUUAUGUGGUAUGCAAAACAUUAAACAUGGCUAUUGUUGAUUCUCCUGCUAAAUCUAUUGUAGAUAAUAAUUUUCUUUAUUUGAUAGCCAAUUAAAGUACAGUAGUGAAAUAAUUCUCUCAACAUCACCAUGAAGUGAAUGCAUUAAUGUCCCUACAUUGCACACAAAAUAGCCAAAGGAUGAAGUGGAUAUCUAUCAUAUCCCUUGAGUAUUGGAGCUCCUCAGACUUCUUUUUUUGGACCUUUUCUAUUCUUGUUUGAUAUAGUUACUGGGGCUAGCUUCAUCUACUCCUCCUAAGGUAUAUAUAUGUAUACUUAUGUGUAUGUAUGUAUGUAUAUAUAUAUACAUGCCACUGACUUCUAAGUCUUUAUCCCAGCCUCAAGUCUUUGGCUCCAUAUCCACUGUACCUGUUAAACAUCUUGUAUAGUCAGUAUCAGUUAGUGGAGCACCACCUAUAUAGUUUCCCAAAUUUUGUUUCUUGGACUUGUCCUUGAAUUCUAUCUCUCAAUAUCUAACUAGCCACCAAGGCUUUUCAAUUCUAACUCUAAUAUAUUCCAUUAAAUUAACUUUAACACUUUCACCCCAGUGCUAUUUCAGUGGGUGAGUUUGAAUUAAUAAAAUAAUUUUCUGUGGUCUUCUUGUCUCUUUUUUCUCUUCAUCAUGGUCUGUCUUCUGAGUGGAGAUAGCCAUCUAUGAAAACAAAAUUUACAUCACUUUAUGGCUCAAAAAAUAUUUAUUGCACCUUAAGCUUCUCUUUGCUUACUCCUUAGCUUGACAUAAAAAGUUUUGCGAAGUUAGAACCACGUGAAUCCUCUCUACCAUUCUAUUUAUCCUAACUUAUUGCCUGCCAUCUCCUAUCUCAGGUUUCUAUAUCAGUAUCUUGGUGACAUUAGUUACCACGUGCUUUCUGUGACCUUGUUUAGUGAUGGAAGAGUUAAGAAGGCCUUUGAAAACUUUCUUUCUGUGCUUAUCUGCAAGGCAACUUAAUGGCUAAUUCUUGGCAUAUUCCAGACCCCAUCUUAUCCCCAUCCACCAUUUGGUUUUUCAAGAAAUAGUGUUAAUGAAAAUUAUGCUGAAAAUACUCAUAUUCUGGUCUCCUUCACUUUAAGGCAAUUUGCUUAAUCAUUUAUUCAAUUUUCCAGUAAACCUUUAUUGAGUACAUACUAUGUGCCAGACACUGAAUAUAGAGAUAAAGGGCUGUCUACCAAGGAACAUAAUCUAGUAGAAGAGAUGAAUAUGUAAAUAACUGUAUGGGUUGAUGGUACACUACCUCGAGUCUAAGAUAUAAUUAUGUUUGUAAAUGUUUGGCAAAUGAGGAGGGCCAGCUUCUCAUAAGGAAAACAAUUAUGUAAAUUGCUGCUAAUGUUUUAGCCUUUUAAAAAUCAUGAUUUGAAGGAAAGAUUAUUUCAAGACUUUCUUCUUCAGUCCCAGCCCUUAUGUUUUCAAAAUACUUCUUUUAAAUUUCAAAUGUUCUGUGCAUAAAUAGUCCCAGAAGUUUUCAAAACAAUUCAGAAAUCACAAGUGAGAUGUAGUGAAUGUGAGUUUUACAGCUUUUAUUUUUCUCCUGAGUGUUCCCUGGCAUACAUGCCACUGAACAAUUAAAAUACUGACUGAAACAAAGGGAUAAGAAGUAAUAAAUUCCUUCACUGAGCCACAAAUGGAAGACUCUGUCCUUUAGUACUAAGAGAGACUUAUAAAUAGUGUAAUGUAAUUAAUUACCUUGCAUAUUCAAGUGUUUAUGUACAAGAUGUCCUAGCAUUUAUAGAAAUAACAAAUUGAGUUAUCUUAUUUAAGAACUUAAUUAUUUCUCUUGGAGAUUGUGGCUAAAAAUACUGACAAAUUCUGUCUACAAUCAUUUGCUUUUCACACCACAAACUAAUGUUUACACUAUGAUUACAACUUAGACAGGCAGCUUGGGGCUAAAUGUGCCCUUAUAUAUUCUUUUCUACUAAUCUUUUUACAAAUGAUUUUUUUUAGAUACUUCCAUUAACCAGAGCCAUGAUUUCAAUAAAGCCCAAUAAAAAUCUAAAUGUGCUGUCCAGUUUCAAAGUUGCAAUAAUUUUUUCAUGUUUAGUGUGUGGUUUCAAAUUUACUCUCCAAGGAUAAGUUAUAAAUCAGAGAGCUGAAAGGGACUUUAUGGGGUUAUUUGGUUCCAGUAUUGCCUUAGAAAUGCACAAGCCAAACUUAUCUAAAUUGACACUCUCAUUUGAAUCUCCUCUGAGGACAGAGGGGCCACAGCCUUGCCGGGGUGAAGUACUUAGUCACCCUUAGAGUAGAUAUGACUUUUCUCAAGAGUGUGAGCACUACUUGGCUCCUUUGUUGGAGAGUAAGCCUGAUUCUUUUUCAGUUUAUGGCAGGUACUUACUGGGCACUAUCCUUCAUCAACUUGAAAGCAUUUAUAUAACCCUUUGGUCUUCUCUUUGUAAGAUUUUAAAAGAAGGAAAAACACAAAACCAAACACUUCUUUACACUUUUCUUAAAGAACCUGUUUUCCCAUUUCUUUUCUUGGGUCUCUUUUAGUUUCUUCAUAAUUUAAAUGCCAAAAGAAAACAUGAAGAUGUUUCUCUUAAACAAAGUCAAGAAGAGCAGGCUUCUUCCUCCAAGUUCAUUUGGCAAAAAUCGAUUGAGGAUACAUUUCAUUCCGAACCAGUAUUGUGAAUGUUAAAAGGGCAAUGCUGAACAAGAGAGAGGCUGUUAGGGUGGCAGAGGAGGAAGCAGGCAAUACAGAGGGUCAGGAAUGCUAAGUUGGUUAGUGGGAGCAUGCAGAAAGGGGUAGCCAAUGAUGGCCUUAGGCUACUAAAGCAGUGAAACACCUAUGGUGUCUUGAUGCCAUAUUUAACAUUUUGGGGGCCGGCCUGGUGGCACAGUGGUUAAGUGUGCAUGUUCUGCUUCUUGGGGGUCCAGGGUUCGCCAGUUCGGAUCCCGGGUGCGAACAUGGCACUGCUUGGUGAAAGCCAUGCUGUGGUAGGGAUCCCACGUAUAAAAUAUAGGAAGAUGGGCAUGGAUGUUAGCUCAGGGCCAGUCUUCCUCAGCAGAAAGAGGAAGAUUGGCAGUAUUUAGCUCAGGGCUAAUCUUCCUCAAAAAAAAAUUUGUACAUUCUUCAUGUAGUAUAGAAAUGGCUCAAAACAGGUGAAAACUGCAACUUUAGUUCUAUGUAUACUUAAAACAACAAACAAGUGAAACCUUGAUCUGUCCUGUGGCAUUCUCCAUGAACAGCAUUUUGAUCUAGAGAAAUAUUUUUCAGUUUUCUGAGUCCUUGCCCAACCUCUCAUAAACCUUUGGGAGCCAAGAAAAAUACAUCAAGUCUUAUUUUAAUACAAAUGCAAAUAUAAUCCCUAAAACAAAUUUUUUAAAGAAGGAAAGUAUAAUUAUAGAUUUCAAAACACGUUUUCCCAAUAUUUACUGUUGACAAAAGAAGAUGAAUGUGGAGUGAUGUCAACAUGAUGGCAGAGCGAACUUGCCCAGGACUCUCUCCCCUCCAACAUACAACAAAAAGGGGCAUCCAUACUCCAACAGAGGACAUCCUAACAACACAAAAACAUCGGAGAGACACGCAGCCACGUGAAGGAGGGCGGAGAGGCUGGAGUCCCGUUUGGAGGAGCUGGAACAGGGUAAGAGAGAACUUCACUCCCUCCCCUAAAGACUGUAAUUGCAACAGUGGGAAGUUCCAUGAGGGAAGGAACAGGGGAGGAGUCAUUCAUUCACGGGAUCCCCAAGGACUCCCUAGGGCCCUUGCAGCCUAGAGGUAAGCCCCCUAAUGGGGAGAAAGCUUUCCUGGGGGGGUGACCUUAUCAAGCAAACACCCCAGGAGACCAGAGAGUGGAGAGCUGAUCAGGAAAGCCUGGAGUGCAUGCGGGAGAAAGCUCCCCUUCCCCCAGCCAUGCCUGCUCUGCUUCCUGGGAUAUUGGCUGAAGGUGGAGGACUCAGAGUACGUGGCUAUCGACACCCACCCAGUGGCACUAGGCACUAACUGCAACCGAAUAGUAUCAGAAUGUGUAAGACCUGACCUACUUCUAGCAACAUCAGACACAACAUCAAAUCUCCAAACCAAAGAGAAAAUGACAAGCACCCAGAAUUCAGUCCUGAGGACACAGAAAUAUAUAAACAAAAUCAGAAAUGAAAGAGGAGAAAUAACAACAGACUACGCAGAAAUACAACAGAUUAUAAGAGAAUAGUAUGAGAAACUGUAUGCCAACAAAACGGAUAAUCUAGAGGAAAUGGAUAAAUUCUUAGACUCGUAUAACCUCCCAAAGCUGAAUCAAGAAGAAACAAUCUGAAUAGACCAAUCACAAGGAAAGAGAUUGAAACAGUAAUCAAAAAUAUCCCAAAGAAUAAAACCCCAGGACCAGAUGGCUUCCCUGGGGAAUUCUACCAAACUUUCAGAGAGGAUUUAAUACCUAUCCAUCUCAAGGUAUUCCAAAAAUUUAGGGAAGAUGGAACACUUCCUAACACAUUCUACGAGGCCAAGAAGAUGAAUGCAUUUGGUUUUCUUUUUUCCCCAUGACUCCUUUACCUGUAGAUGAUUCUAUAUGUACAUACAUACAUGUCUAUUUUGUUGCUGGUGUUGACAGUUGACUGCCAAAUAGUUAUUGUAUAUUCAGCUUUCCACUUUGUGAAUACAAUUCUUAAAUUUAUCCUAUUCUAUUCUUUUACUGGACAUAAAACCAAACUUUUAACCCUUGCUUAAGUGAUACAUAGUUAUUAUGGCACUAUAUACCCUUUAGGUAUAUAUAAAUGUGACUGUAUGUCCUAAUUUUCCCAGGAUAGAUCUAAUUUUCACUUGUGGUUCUAGUAUAAUUGUUAAUAGCUAACUUUUUCAUGCUCAGAAGUAUCCUAGAUUGAAUGAUAGAUUACAUGGUUGCCCUACAUAUAAUGAACUUUAGUCCAACUGCACUAAUGAGAGGAUAAGGGAGUAGUUAGCAUGAAGGAAUAAUAUGAAAGCAUUUAAAGCUACCUUUUGAAAUUAGUAAAAAUCACACAUCUAUUCCUUUUUCCUGAGUAGGUCUGAUUUUUUUCUUGGUUUGGG
rnacentral:lncRNA from 1 species